AGAGUUUGAUCCUGGCUCAGGAUGAACGCUAGCGGCAGGCUUAAUACAUGCAAGUCGAACGGCAGCGGGUCCAGCAAUGGAUGCCGGCGAGUGGCGCACGGGUGCGUAACACGUAUGCAACCUACCUUUAACCGGGACAUAACCUCGAGAAAUCGUGGCUAAUAUUCCAUAAUAUCUUUGAAUCGCAUGGUUUGAAGAUCAAAAUUCCGAUGGUUUUAGAUGGGCAUGCGCGACAUUAGCUAGUUGGUGAGGUAAUGGCUCACCAAGGCUACGAUGUUUAGGGGGUCUGAGAGGAUGAUCCCCCACACUGGUACUGAGACACGGACCAGACUCCUACGGGAGGCAGCAGUAAGGAAUAUUGGGCAAUGGGCGCAAGCCUGACCCAGCCAUGCCGCGUGCAGGAUGACAGCCCUACGGGUUGUAAACUGCUUUUAUACGGGAAAAAACCCUCUGACGUGUCAGAGGCUGAUGGUACCGUAAGAAUAAGCAUCGGCUAACUCCGUGCCAGCAGCCGCGGUAAUACGGAGGAUCCGAGCGUUAUCCGGAAUUAUUGGGUUUAAAGGGUGCGUAGGCGGCCAUUUAAGUCAGCGGUGAAAUUUUGCAGCUUAACUGUAACAGUGCCGUUGAUACUGUUUGGCUAGGAUUUGGUUGUAGUGUGCGGAAUGUGUGGUGUAGCGGUGAAAUGCUUAGAUAUCACACAGAACACCGAUUGCGAAGGCAGCACACUAAGUCAUUAUUGACGCUGAGGCACGAAAGUGUGGGGAUCAAACAGGAUUAGAUACCCUGGUAGUCCACACUGUAAACGAUGAUAACUCGCUGUCGGCGAUACACAGUCGGUGGCCAAGCGAAAGCAUUAAGUUAUCCACCUGGGGAGUACGACCGCAAGGUUGAAACCCAAAGGAAUUGACGGGGGCCUGCACAAGCGGUGGAGCAUGUGGUUUAAUUCGAUGAUACGCGAGAAACCUUACCAGGACUUGACAUGGACAGGAAUGGUCGUGAAAGCGAUCAGCUUUUCGGAGUCUGUUCACAGGUGCUGCAUGGCUGUCGUCAGCUCGUGCUGUGAAGUGUUGGGUUAAGUCCCGCAACGAGCGCAACCCCCGCUGUCUGUUGCUACCAAGUGAAGUUGGGCACUCAGACGGGACCGCCGGUGACAAACCGGAGGAAGGUGGGGAGGACGUCAAAUCAUCAUGCCCCUUAUGACCUGGGCUACACACGUGCUACAAUGGAUGGUACAACGAGGAGCGAACUCGCAAGGGCAAGCGAAUCUCUUAAAGCCAUUCUCAGUUCGGAUUGUUCUCUGCAACUCGAGAGCAUGAAGCCGGAAUCGCUAGUAAUCGCGGAUCAGCACGCCGCGGUGAAUACGUUCCCGGGUCUUGUACUCACCGCCCGUCAAG
rnacentral:rRNA from 1 species